GACGAACGCUGGCGGCAGGCUUAACACAUGCAAGUCGAACGCCCUCUUCGGAGGGAGUGGCAGACGGGUGAGUAACGCGUGGGAAUCUACCCUAUUCUACGGAACAACAGUUAGAAAUGACUGCUAAUACCGUAUACGCCCUUCGGGGGAAAGAUUUAUCGGAGUAGGAUGAGCCCGCGUUUGAUUAGCUAGUUGGUAGGGUAAUGGCUUACCAAGGCGACGAUCAAUAGCUGGUCUGAGAGGAUGAUCAGCCACACUGGGACUGAGACACGGCCCAGACUCCUACGGGAGGCAGCAGUGGGGAAUAUUGGACAAUGGGCGCAAGCCUGAUCCAGCCAUGCCGCGUGUGUGAUGAAGGCCCUAGGGUUGUAAAGCACUUUCAACGGUGAAGAUAAUGACGGUAACCGUAGAAGAAGCUCCGGCUAACUUCGUGCCAGCCGCCGCCGUAACAC
rnacentral:rRNA from 1 species